rnacentral:miRNA from 1 species
ACUCUCUUGACGUAUUCCA